UUAUCUCCCCCAAGAGUCCACAUCGACGGGGAGGUUUGGCACCUCGAUGUCGGCUCGUCGCAUCCUGGGGCUGUAGUCGGUCCCAAGGGUUGGGCUGUUCGCCCAUUAAAGCGGCACGCGAGCUGGGGUCAGAACGUCGUGAGACAGUUCGGGCCCUAUCCGUCGCGGGCGCAGGAAAUUUGAGAGGAGCUGUCCCUAGUACGAGAGG
rnacentral:rRNA from 1 species